rnacentral:lncRNA from 1 species
AUGCAUUUUUACAUACCCUUUACAUUCUCCUUGCAGCACUGGGAAGAAAGGAGAGGUGUCUUUGUGGACGCGAAUAGCAGGAGCAUUGCUUAUGUGAUGGCUCGGGGUGGGAUGGGCCAGAGAAAGGCAGAAGCGUGGUGGGAAGUGAGAGGAGCUCAGCGCGACACCGUGACUGUGCGUGUCCACCUGCCUCCACACCACAACACGGUCUGCUGGGCUGAAGGACCUGGGCAAUUUGAUCUCCAGCCUGUAGCUGCCUCUGACAGUCGUCUGCAUUGCAUCUCCAUCAACUGCCCUGCUCAGGAAGCCUCUGUGAGCUGUGGGUGCCUACAGGAUAUGGACUAUGCCCAAAGGCAGGAGAAGGGGCAUGCUCCAGGGCAAAAGACAGUGCUGGGGAGAGGAAGGAGGGAGAGAAAGCAAGAGGCCCCAUGUGCACGCCGCCCAGGACUGUCGGGUGGAGGAGACCGAGAGGGUUGUGGCCAUAAACGGGAGAGGGGGAUUUGGGUGCAGGGGCUGCAGGGCACCUCGGGGGAAGGAGAGCCACGUGGCAGUCCGUGCAGCGGGGCUGAUGGGGCGACACGGUGGUGGAGUGGACAUGGAGGAGGGGUGCUGGUGGGGGGACCAGCCUGGCUCUCAUACCCCCUCCUGCCCUCCAAGCUGUCCCGUCACAUGGAUGGGGAAGAGAGUGCGGAGAGAUUUCAGAUGCACUGCCGUCGCCAUGGAAACCCCGUCCCCAGCAUCCCUGAGUGCCGGCCGGGGAUGGCUCAUGUCGCUGGCCGACUGCGAGCCCCGGGACAGGAACAGCCCCUGGAGAGGGGACAGGGAGAAACAGUAGGGCCAGGGGGUCCCUUGCACCCUGGGCAAUACCAACAGGACAGGAGCAGGCUCUGCCCAUCUCAGCCACCCCUCCGUGGUGGGGGAUCACCAGCCAGUCCCACCUGGGCCACCUCUGAGGAGCCACCAAGGGCCUCCAGAGAGGCAGGAGGUGACCGGGGCCGCUGCUAA